rnacentral:lncRNA from 1 species
GUAUGGGGCUAUGGUUGAGACACGGAGCCUUGGCCUUCAGGCCUCUCAGUCUUGAGGAAUGACUGCAAACACAACCUACAUCUCGAGUCAUUUACUACAGGAGUGUCAAUCACUAAUAACUACGCCCCUAGGAGAAAGCUCAGAAGGAUUCCAGAACAAUCCUCGCGCACAAAUACCACACAGCUUGCUGAGGGAAGCAAGGCUUGUUCUCCCUGCUAUUCUCGCCAACUGAGCCCUUUUUCUAAGCCUCAUCUCAUGCUACCCCCUAACCCAAGCCAUGAAGGACUGGGUUAUAAACGGGAAUUUCUCUACAAAUAGGUCAGGGGCCAAUGAUGUCAAAAUCACAUCGUGGGGACAGGUGUUGUCUAGACAGAUCGACCCCUGUUAUGGGAUGCUUUUCCUGAGGAGAUGUGACAUAUAUGUCUGUUCACCUCAGACAUGAAACUGAUGACAUACUAAAGUGAUGAUACUACCUGUGGUGCUCUGUAUACACCUAGCGCAUUGGAAGGUGUGGCCUCAUUGGAACAGAUGUGGCCUUGUUAGAGGAAAUGCAUCACUGUGCGGUGGACUUUGAGGUCCUAUGUUCAAGCUCCACCCAAUGUGGAAGAGAUCUCCUCCUGGCUGCCUGCAGAAGACAGUUUCCUCCUGGCUGCCUUUGGAUCAAGAUGUAAACUUGUCUGCUCCUUCUCCAGCACCAUGUCAUCCUGGAUUCUGCCAUGUUUCUUGCCAUGAUGAUAAUGGACUGAACCUCUGAAACUGUAAGCCCACCCCAAUUAAAUGUU